rnacentral:rRNA from 1 species
AGCGAACGCUGGCGGCAGGCUUAACACAUGCAAGUCGAACGCCCGUAGCAAUACGGGAGUGGCAGACGGGUGAGUAACGCGUGGGAACAUGCCCUUUGGUUUGGAAUAACUCAGGGAAACUUGAGCUAAUACCGGAUAAGCCCGAGAGGGGAAAGAUUUAUCGCCGAAGGAUUGGCCCGCGUCCGAUUAGCUAGUUGGUGAGGUAAUGGCUCACCAAGGCGACGAUCGGUAGCUGGUCUGAGAGGAUGAUCAGCCACACUGGGACUGAGACACGGCCCAGACUCCUACGGGUGGCUG